rnacentral:rRNA from 1 species
AUUCGAUAGCUGUCUUGCACACACAUCAUGGUAAAAUAUUCAUCAGUACGAAUAAUAUGCUGACUAACACUAAAGGACAAAAAGACCCUCUGAAGCUUUAUAGGGAUAAAACUUGGGUAACAUUCAUACAA